rnacentral:rRNA from 1 species
AUUGAACGCUGGCGGCAUGCCUAACACAUGCAAGUCGAACGGCAACACGCUUAGCGCUUCCUACUACUGGUGGCGGGGGGAGGAAGGGUACGGAAUGGAUCAGCAACUUGUGUGUCAGGGAGCACAACGUGGGCCAAGACCGCAUACCAUCUGAUAUGUCAAACGGGGGAGCAUACUGGAAUAUGUGGCCUUUCGCGUUUGUAAUAGCCGAUGUCGGAUUAGCUAGUUGGUGGGGUAAAGGCCUACCAAGCCGACGAUCCGUAGCUGGUCUGAGAGGAUGAUCAGCCACACUGGAACUGAGACACGGUCCAGACUCCUACGGGAGGCAGCAGUGGGGAAUCUUGGACAAUGGGCGCAAGCCUGAUCCAGCAAUGCCGCGUGAGUGAAGAAGGCCUUCGGGUUGUAAAGCGCUUUUGUUAGGAAAGAAAAGCAGCUGGAUAAUACCUGGGCGUCUUGACGGUACCGUAAGAAUAAGCACCGGCUAACUACGUG